AAACCAACAGGGAUUGCCUCAGUAACGGCGAGUGAAGCGGCAAAAGCUCAAAUUUGAAAUCCUUCGGGAGUUGUAAUUUGUAGGUUGGGAGACCCCGCGGCUAGUGGCACCAAGUCCCUUGGAACAGGGCGCCUUAGAGGGUGAGAGCCCCGUAGGUACCACAACACCGUCUUGUGUCUCCUCUCCAAAGAGUCGAGUUGUUUGGGAAUGCAGCUCAAAGUGGGUGGUAAAUUCCAUCUAAAGCUAAAUACCGGCGAGAGACCGAUAGCGAACAAGUACAGUGAUGGAAAGAUGAAAAGCACUUUGAAAAGAGAGUGAAACAGUACGUGAAAUUGUUGAAAGGGAAGGGCUUGCAAGCAGACACGGCCUUCGUGCCGGGCCAGCAUCGGUUGCUAGGGGUGGAUAAGGAACAAGGAAUGUAGCUCCUCGGAGUAUUAUAGCCUUGCGCGAUACACCCACUGGCGACCGAGGCCUGCGGUAU
rnacentral:rRNA from 2 species